AUGAACGCUGGCGGCGUGCCUAAUACCUGCAAGUCGAGCGAACAGACGAGGAGCUUGCACCUCUGACGUUAGCGGCGGACGGGUGAGUAACACGUGGAUAACCUACCUAUAAGACUGGGAUAACUUCGGGAAACCGGAGCUAAUACCGGAUAAUAUAUUGAACCGCAUGGUUCAAUAGUGAAAGACGGUUUUGCUGUCACUUAUAGAUGGAUCCGCGCCGCAUUAGCUAGUUGGUAAGGUAACGGCUUACCAAGGCAACGAUGCGUAGCCGACCUGAGAGGGUGAUCGGCCACACUGGAACUGAGACACGGUCCAGACUCCUACGGGAGGCAGCAGUAGGGAAUCUUCCGCAAUGGGCGAAAGCUUGACGGAGCAACGCCGCGUGAGUGAUGAAGGUCUUCGGAUCGUAAAACUCUGUUAUUAGGGAAGAACAAAUGUGUAAGUAACUAUGCACGUCUUGACGGUACCUAAUCAGAAAGCCACGGCUAACUACGUG
rnacentral:rRNA from 1 species